rnacentral:lncRNA from 1 species
UGCCGAGCCCUCGCUCCUCUCCAAGCCAAGUCUCGCCUGAUGAUCUCGCCGCCUCCCCGGGCCCGCCGCGAGCUGCGGCGCGGCCGCGUUGGUGGCGGGGGGCCCGCUCGGUCGGCUUGGGAGCCGCUGCGCGAGCGAGCCGUCAGUUUCCCAACGGCCUCGUUUCCCGUCCUUGGGAAUGCCAGGCUGCGUGCACGUAGACAUGAGGAUCCUCUGAAGGUCCGGUGGGCUGGAGCAGCAUGGGCCAAGCAGCCAGAGCCCAGUGCAGGGCAGGGGACCCACUCAGCCCUGCCACACCCUGUGAUGUUCUUCCUGGAGUUGCGGACCAUGCUUGGUGCAGAUGGGUGA